GGAUGAACUGCAGACCCUGGUCUUGGAGAACAUAUCUGAGCUGACAGGGACAGGUUUAGAAGUCCUCAGGUCAAGGAAGUUAAAAGAUGUUCACUUCUCGGGCAUUCAAAUUACCAACGAAAGCCUAAUAGCACUUGUGACAAGAAAUCCAACAAUAUCAAGACUGGAUAUAGGUUGUUGCGGUAAGCUGACACAUGAAGUCAUCCCUGCAAUAGCAGUAACACUCGCAAAUGAACUUGAGAAUUUAAACCUUCAAAAGAUCGGCACAAUAGAGAAUAACGAUCUGGUUGUAUUAUCACAACAUUGCAAAAACUUAGAAGGGAUUGUUCUAUUUGGCUGUAGUGGAAUAACCAGUGCAGGGCUGAGGGCGCUGAGUAAAGAAUGCACCAAGCUCCAGCUCCUAGAUGUCUCCUUCUGCUACAAGCUCCAGGAGAGCUC